rnacentral:rRNA from 1 species
UACAGAAGGUGCGAGCGUUAAUCGGAUUUACUGGGCGUAAAGGGCACGUAGGCGGUAGGAUGUGUGUGAUGUGAAAGCCCCGGGCUUAACCUGGGAAGUGCAUCGCAAACUAUCUAACUAGAGUAGAUGAGAGGGUGGCGGAAUUUCCAGUGUAGCGGUGAAAUGCGUAGAGAUUGGAAGGAACGUCAAUGGCGAAGGCAGCCACCUGGCAUCAUACUGACGCUGAGGUGCGAAAGCGUGGGGAGCGAACAGG